AUUGAACGCUGGCGGCAUGCCUUACACAUGCAAGUCGAACGGUAGCGGGCCUUCGGGUGCCGACGAGUGGCGCACGGGUGAGUAAUACAUCGGAACGUGCCCGAUCGUGGGGGAUAACGAGGCGAAAGCUUUGCUAAUACCGCAUACGAUCUACGGAUGAAAGCAGGGGACCGCAAGGCCUUGCGCGGACGGAGCGGCCGAUGGCAGAUUAGGUAGUUGGUGGGAUAAAAGCUUACCAAGCCGACGAUCUGUAGCUGGUCUGAGAGGAUGAUCAGCCACACUGGGACUGAGACACGGCCCAGACUCCUACGGGAGGCAGCAGUGGGGAAUUUUGGACAAUGGGCGCAAGCCUGAUCCAGCCAUGCCGCGUGCAGGAUGAAGGCCUUCGGGUUGUAAACUGCUUUUGUACGGAACGAAAAGCCUUCUUUUAAUACAGGAGGGUCAUGACGGUACCGUAAGAAUAAGCACCGGCUAACUACGUG
rnacentral:rRNA from 1 species